GAAGGUAUAGCUCAGUGAUAGAGUGCUUGCCUAGCAUGCACAAGUUCCUGGGUUCAAUCCCCAGUGCUGCCG
rnacentral:tRNA from 1 species